CGCACGCACGCACACACGCAAAUCGGGGAACAGUAAGCCCCUUACAAGCCCCAUAUGGUAUCAGAGGCUGGAUUGUGCAAUUUGGGAUGAAGGAAAAGACUUUGCUACCUACUUUGGAAGAACGAGCUAGAGUGAGGUAACCACGAGCUAUUCAAACAUUGGAGAGAAGAAAGGAUUAGAAGUAAAUGGAGUUCACAAGGGGUCAAUGAACUUCAAGGAAGACGUUCUGAAUUAACGCUCAAUGCCUGACGAACAGCACUGUACUGAUGUCCACUGACAGCUGGAAAGGAGGGUCUCAACGUAUCUCUCAACAUAGUACUGUUGUCCAGCCUGCCUCCUUCCUGCAGGCUCCCUGCCAUCAAGCACAGCUAGCUUUUCCAAUGUGUGAGGUGACUUUGAUGUUUGGACUGGAACGGACCAGUGAAACUCCAAAGCGAGAAAAAGGGAAAAGGGAAGGCGAACGCAGAAAACCGGCUAAGCAGAAAACUCCCCCACGUGGCUCGUGAGGGUGCCCCGGAAGUAAAUUCGAAAUUGAUUGAUACGUUUGGGAUGCACAAUGAUGAGAAAUAAAAAGGAAAAAGAUUUCCAGAAAGAAGCCAUAAGAUUCAAGAUUUCACAGUCCACGCUAAUGUCCAUAGAUUCUUGACCAAAUGAUCUGAAUUGGAUUCAUGGCAAAAGAAGUGUUACUAGACUAAGGCAAGGAACUUUGAUUCACUUACACAUCACUUGCAAUGUCUGAGUCAUAGGCUGGUCCAUUGACCGUGCUAUAGCCCCUGUGCUGUAUUUUACCCUGACUUUCUUAGCUGCUUGAACAGAAAGAUGAUAGAGAAAUCUAAGAUACAGGAGAAGGGAACAGGAAGGAACCAACAAGCAUGAACCAGACUGGGGUAACUAGAAGAUUCUAAUUUUGGCACCAGGAAGAAAUUCUUCCUAAGCUUCAUUUGGAAAUGCUGGGCCCUGGUGGGAAAAAAAAACAGAGAUACAACAAAUGAGGACAAAGCAGAAACAGAUUGUGCCUGAUUUGUGGCAGAGUGGAGCACGAAGGACUUCUGGAUUAGAUGGAGAGAAUGAAUACCCAGGCAUCUCCAUGGCCCUGCUGAUGGUUCCAGAGCUUCAUCCAGUCAGUGAUGAGCUACAUGUACACCUGGAGGAGCAUGAAGCCAGAGAGCCAGCUCUCCUACCAUCUGCAUAUACAGAUGUUAACAGUUUGUGGCUUGGAAGAAAAUACUCAUCAGAUCCCAGCUGUGCUGCCACUGUGAUUUCCGACUUCCAAGGCUCCAGCACACUUGACUGAAGAUCAGAAGGCAGAGCUAGCGACUAGUUAACCACAGAAGUCUGGAGUUCUGUACAGAGACAGGAAGUGAUAUGGCUGGAUGGAGAGACAAAUAUAAGGCAGGAGGAGACAGGAGCUGAGCCCUUUUUCAGCUGAAGGCUUAGCAAGGAUGUUUGACCUUGAAGCAGUUGAAGAAAACAGAUUUAGCAAGGUAAAAUCGUCUUCCCAGGGUCAUACAAAGGUUUGGUAAGUUAUAAUUUAGUGUUUAUUUGAUUCCGGGAACUUUUUAUUUCCUCCCUGUUUUUUUUCAAUAACCCAUUGGAUGUUCAUUAAUGUGUCCAAUCUCUAUAUGUUUGUGUGGUUUCUGUGGUUUUUCCUUGUUGAUCUCUAGUUUACGGAGGUCUGAUGAUAUUCAGAAAGUUUUUUUAUUUCUUUUAUAUUUGGUAAGGGAUUGGUUUGUAGCAUAGAAUGUAGUCUAUUUUAGAGAAUGUUCUGUGGGCUGCUUAGAAGAAUCUGCUCUUUCCCUUUUAGGUGAAAUGUUCUGUUUAUAUCUGGUCUGUGCUGUAGCUUAACUCUGGUUUGUUGUUUUUUGUUUGGGUGUCCUAUUUAAAGAAGAAAGUGGGAUAUAGUGAAGUCACCCAAUAUGAUUGGAUCAGGACUUGGGUGAUUUUUUUUUUUAAUGACUAUUCGUCUUUGUCUUAUGGAAUUUGAAGCCCCAGCUUUUGGUUCAUAAAUAUUUAUAAUUGUUAUAGCUUUUUAUUUUCCCUUUUUCAUACCCAGUGGCCUGCUUUAACUCUUCGAAUAAUUUUUGCUUGAAGUCUUUUUGUGAGGUGUCAGGACAACUUUACUAGCCUCUUUUCAGUUUCUGUUCAUGAUGAAUUGUUUUUUCCCUCUGAUUUUCCAUCUGUAUAUGACUAUGGGUGAUGUGUGUUUCUUGGAGACAACAAAUAGCUGAAUCUAGAUUUUUAAUCCUUUUACUUGACCUUUGUCCUUUUAUUGGUAAGUCAAGGUCAUUUACCUAUGUGGUUAUUGCCGAGAGAGACGUUUACCAAUUCCUGUAUUUUGCUGGUUGUUUUCCUUGUUGAUUGAUAUUGGUUGUUCUUUACUAUCUCUUCUGUUACUAUUGAGGACUGUCUGGUUUACUGAGUUGGACAUGAUAA